AGUUACUGUCUCCCGCUCUCUGGAUACUGCCAGGUCAUAACCCACCUCUCAUGUCUCUGCCUUGGCAAGCCUGCUGUUGUGGUGUCUCCCCAUCAAGUAAAAGAACAUCUUCUGCAGCAGUGCACAGAAUCUCUUCAAAGACAAAUGUGGACAUAUUGAUUCCACUCACUGCGACUGAACCUUGAAAAUCAAGCCAACGAUUGAUAAGCACCAGGAAUGUGAGCCUGAGUCUGGUAUUUGCCGAGCUUCAGGCUUUAACAUCAUGUUAUUUCUACCUGAGAUCACUACCUUCCCACCCUGUGGCAGGUUCUUCAGGACAAAUCUAAUGGAGCCUCAGCCUGUGCAAUGACUGGAAUACUGCUUCAAUAGCACUUGUCCCCCAAGGAUGCUCCCAAGAGGCAUUAAGGAAACGUGGCUGAAGGCAUAGGCCACCUCUACCCCUCCACACUCACUAGUAUAUCUCUUUGAGCAUGAGAGAAGAAAGUCACUACAGAGAUCAUCCAAGACUUCAUUGUGAAUAGAAAAACCGCACUGAAAUGAAGAGUACAGGGGAAGAAGGGCUGCAAGUUCCCAUCCAGCAAGAAAAGCCAGGGGGUGACUUGUGUCUGCCAGGGCUUUGCCCUGGGAAGGGCAGACCUAGGAAAAUCACCAAUGUAUCCCCACGUUUACUCUGUGUUCCAACAAUUGUUUUCAUAUGGACAUCCAGUUUUGCCAGCACCAUUUGUUAAAAAGACUGU